UCUCCGUAGGUGAACCUGCGGAGGGAUCAUUACUGAGUGAGGGUUUAACCGCCCGACCUCCAACCCUUUGUGAACCAACACUGUUGCUUCGGGGGCGACCCUGCCGUCCGCGGCUGAGCGCCCCCGGGGUCAAUCAAACACUGCAUUCUCUGCGUCGGAGUAUUAGUAAAUCUAAUCAAAACUUUCAACAACGGAUCUCUUGGUUCUGGCAUCGAUGAAGAACGCAGC
rnacentral:misc_RNA from 1 species